rnacentral:rRNA from 1 species
AUUGAACGCUGGCGGCAUGCCUUACACAUGCAAGUCGAACGGCAGCACGGGAGCAAUCCUGGUGGCGAGUGGCGAACGGGUGAGUAAUAUAUCGGAACGUGCCCAGUCGUGGGGGAUAACGCAGCGAAAGCUGUGCUAAUACCGCAUACGAUCUAUGGAUGAAAGCGGGGGACCGCAAGGCCUCGCGCGAUUGGAGCGGCCGAUAUCAGAUUAGCUAGUUGGUGGGGUAAAGGCCCACCAAGGCGACGAUCUGUAGCUGGUCUGAGAGGACGACCAGCCACACUGGACAUGAGACACGGUCCAGACUCCUACGGGAGGCAGCAGUGGGGAAUUUUGGACAAUGGGCGCAAGCCUGAUCCAGCAAUGCCGCGUGCAGGAUGAAGGCCUUCGGGUUGUAAACUGCUUUUGUACGGAACGAAACGGUGAGCUUUAAUACAGUUUGCUAAUGACGGUACCGUAAGAAUAAGCACCGGCUAACUACGUGCCAGCCGCCGCCGCCG